GUGGGGAAUCUUAGACAAUGGGCGCAAGCCUGAUCUAGCCAUGCCGCGUGAGCGAUGAAGGCCUUAGGGUUGUAAAGCUCUUUCAGCUGGGAAGAUAAUGACGGUACCAGCAGAAGAAGCCCCGGCUAACUCCGUGCCAGCAGCCGCGGUAAUACGGAGGGGGCUAGCGUUGUUCGGAAUUACUGGGCGUAAAGCGCACGUAGGCGGAUUGGAAAGUUGGGGGUGAAAUCCCGGGGCUCAACCCCGGAACUGCCUUCAAAACUCCCAGUCUUGAGGUCGAGAGAGGUGAGUGGAAUUCCGAGUGUAGAGGUGAAAUUCGUAGAUAUUCGGAGGAACACCAGUGGCGAAGGCGGCUCACUGGCUCGAUACUGACGCUGAGGUGCGAAAGCGUGGGGAGCAAACAGGAUUAGAUACCCCUGUAGUCC
rnacentral:rRNA from 1 species